UACGAAGGGGGCUAGCGUUGUUCGGAAUUACUGGGCGUAAAGCGCGUGUAGGCGGGUCUUUAAGUCAGGGGGGAAAUGCCAAGGCUCAACCUUGGAACUGCCUUUGAUACUGGAGACCUUGAGUCCGGGAGAGGUGAGUGGAAUUGCGAGUGUAGAGGUGAAAUUCGUAGAUAUUCGGAAGAACACCAGUGGCGAAGGCGACUUACUGGACACAUACUGACGCUGAGGUGCGAAAGCGUGGGGAGCAAACAGG
rnacentral:rRNA from 1 species